rfam:Gossypium hirsutum cultivar TM-1 chromosome 5, whole genome shotgun sequence
AAGAUAAGAGGCAGUCAGGAUAGCCAAAGGAGACUGCCUACAAACCAGUAAAAGGAUUAUUAUAUGUAUAUAUAAAUAUAACAUUCCUCUAGUUUGGGUUUAGGCAAGUCAUCCUUGGCUACCAAACAAGACUCUUAAUCU